GCCUUGUUUGAUGGAGAAGAAACUAUCUGAUGUCUGUGACACCUUUCAGCUAGUGCUGAAAUGGGCCACAAAAAAUAUUCAAGCUGCUCGAAGGAGUUUAUGCUCUCCGACUAUAGCCCAAAAUAUCAAGCUCAAGUAGCUUUCCGAAUAGUUGUCAGAAAGUUGAUGCAUAGGAGGGCGUCGGUUGCCUCCUGGAUCGUCAUGAGAGCCUUGUAGCUCUCCAAGUGAUC
rnacentral:lncRNA from 1 species